rnacentral:tRNA from 1 species
GCUCAGUUGGGAGAGCGUACGACUGAAGAUCGUAAGGUCACCAGUUCGAUCCUGGU